rnacentral:rRNA from 1 species
CACGUAGGCGGUCUUUUAAGUCAGAGGUGAAAUCCCUGAGCUUAACUUAGGAAUUGCAUUCGAUACUGGGAAGCUAGAGUAUGGGAGAGGAUGGUAGAAUUCCAGGUGUAGCGGUGAAAUGCGUAGAGAUCUGGAGGAAUACCGAUGGCGAAGGCAGCCAUCUGGCCUAAUACUGACGCUGAGGUACGAAAGCAUGGGGAGCAAACAGGAUUAGAUACCCGCGUA